UCGUAUUAAUACCGCAUACGACCUACGGGAGAAAGGGGGCAGUUUACUGCUCUCGCUAUUAGAUGAGCCUAAGUCGGAUUAGCUAGAUGGUGGGGUAAAGGCCUACCAUGGCGACGAUCUGUAGCUGGUCUGAGAGGAUGAUCAGCCACACCGGGACUGAGACACGGCCCGGACUCCUACGGGAGGCAGCAGUGGGGAAUAUUGGACAAUGGGGGAAACCCUGAUCCAGCCAUGCCGCGUGUGUGAAGAAGGCCUUUUGGUUGUAAAGCACUUUAAGCAGUGAAGAAGACUCCGUGGUUAAUACCCACGGACGAUGACAUUAGCUGCAGAAUAAGCACCGGCUAACUCUGUGCCAGCAGCCGCGGUAAUACAGAGGGUGCAAGCGUUAAUCGGAAUUACUGGGCGUAAAGGGAGCGUAGGUGGCUCUAUAAGUCAGAUGUGAAAUCCCCGGGCUCAACCUGGGAACUGC
rnacentral:rRNA from 1 species